AUAUUGUACCAUCAUCAUCAUCAUAAAGUUCUUGAUGUGGCAAAAGAAACGUCCUUAACUUUUUUGCAGCACACAAUCCAACAGGAAUUUGGUGGGACUUACGUAAAUACCAGAUGUCAAAAGAAACAUGACGAGCUCUUUCAUCUACAUGAGUAUCAUUAGAAUUUAUCUUGCUAAUCUGUUUCCCAGCAACUAAAGUUGCCAGGUCAUGCAUUAAAUCAUGCAUUUUGCAACUUUCU
rnacentral:misc_RNA from 1 species